CUGUCUCAACCACGAACUCGGCGAAAUUGCACUACGAGUAAAGAUGCUCGUUACGCGCAGCAGGACGGAAAGACCCCGGGACCUUUACUACAGCUUGGUAUUGGUGUUCGGUACGGCUUGUGUAGGAUAGGUGGGAGACUGUGAAGCAUGCACGCCAGUGUGUGUGGAGUCAACGUUGAAAUACCACUCUGGUCGUUCUGGAUAUCUAACCUCGGUCCGUGAUCCGGAUCAGGGACAGUGCCUGGUGGGUAGUUUAACUGGGGCGGUUGCCUCCUAAAAGGUAACGGAGGCGCCCAAAGGUUCCCUCAGCCUGGUUGGCAAUCAGGUUUUGAGUGUAAGUGCACAAGGGAGCUUGACUGUGAGACAGGCAUGUCGAGCAGGGACGAAAGUCGGGACUAGUGAUCCGGCGGUGGCUUGUGGAAGCGCCGUCGCUCAACGGAUAAAAGGUACCCCGGGGAUAACAGGCUGAUCUUGCCCAAGAGUCCAUAUCGACGGCAUGGUUUGGCACCUCGAUGUCGGCUCGUCGCAUCCUGGGGCUGGAGUAGGUCCCAAGGGUUGGGCUGUUCG
rnacentral:rRNA from 1 species